rnacentral:rRNA from 1 species
AGUGAACGCUGGCGGUAGGCCUAACACAUGCAAGUCGAACGGCAGCACAGUAAGAGCUUGCUCUUACGGGUGGCGAGUGGCGGACGGGUGAGGAAUACAUCGGAAUCUACUUUUUCGUGGGGGAUAACGUAGGGAAACUUACGCUAAUACCGCAUACGACCUACGGGUGAAAGCAGGGGAUCUUCGGACCUUGCGCGUUUGAAUGAGCCGAUGUCGGAUUAGCUAGUUGGCGGGGUAAAGGCCCACCAAGGCGACGAUCCGUAGCUGGUCUGGGUGGAUGAUCAGCCACACUGGAACUGAGACACGGUCCAGACUCCUACGGGAGGCAGCAGUGGGGAAUAUUGGACAAUGGGCGCAAGCCUGAUCCAGCCAUACCGCGUGGGUGAAGAAGGCCUUCGGGUUGUAAAGCCCUUUUGUUGGGAAAGAAAAGCAGCAGGUUAAUACCCCGCUGUUCUGACGGUACCCAAAGAAUAAGCACCGGCUAACUUCGUG